UGCCCAACAACUCCUAUCCCUACCUCCACGCGGUACCGGCCGGAAACUAUGAGCAACCUUAGAGAAGAUCGGGUAACCAACCCCGGUGGGAACUUUGGUCGUAGGCUGACAGGGAAGG
rnacentral:ribozyme from 1 species